rnacentral:rRNA from 1 species
GACGAGUCUCACAAACGUUAUUCGGAAUUACUGGGCUUAAAGGGUGCGUAGGCGGUGAAGUAAGUCGGAUGUGAAAUACCUUAGCUUAACUAGGGAACUGCACUCGAUACUACUUUGCUAGAGUAAGACAGAGGUGAGUGGAACUGAGGGUGGAGCGGUGAAAUGCGUUGAUAUCCUCAGGAACACCGGUGGCGAAGGCGACUCACUGGGUCUUUACUGACGCUGAUGCACGAAAGCGUGGGGAGCGAACAGG